UACGAAGGGGGCUAGCGUUGCUCGGAAUCACUGGGCGUAAAGGGUGCGUAGGCGGGUCUUUAGGUCAGGGGUGAAAUCCUGGAGCUCAACUCCAGAACUGCCUUUGAUACUGAGGAUCUUGAGUCCGGGAGAGGUGAGUGGAACUGCGAGUGUAGAGGUGAAAUUCGUAGAUAUUCGCAAGAACACCAGUGGCGAAGGCGGCUCACUGGCCCGGUACUGACGCUGAGGCACGAAAGCGUGGGGAGCAAACAGG
rnacentral:rRNA from 1 species